rnacentral:rRNA from 1 species
AUGCUGUGAGCUCGAUGAGUAGGGCGGGACACGUGGUAUCCUGUCUGAAUAUGGGGGGACCAUCCUCCAAGGCUAAAUACUCCUGACUGACCGAUAGUGAACCAGUACCGUGAGGGAAAGGCGAAAAGAACCCCGGCGAGGGGAGUGAAAAAGAACCUGAAACCGUGUACGUACAAGCAGUGGGAGCCC